GAAGAGAAAUCUAAAAGAGUAAAACCAGUAGAAGAGGCAACCUACAGAAUGGAAAAUGUAUUUACCAGCUAUACAAACUGGAAAAACUUAAUAUGCAAAACCUAUGUUUCUAAAACUAUAGCAAAAUAAGUAAUCCAGUUCUAAAAGAAAAAAAAUACAUUUUUCAAAAGACUUAGAGAAAUUCAAGUUGAAACCAUAAUGAGAUGCGACUUCACUCCAACAAGCAUGGUUGUAAUUGAAAAGACAAAAGAUAACAAUUGCUGGUGUAGAUGUGGAAAAUGAAAACCGUACAUACUGCUGGUAAGAAAGCAAAUUAGUAUGACAAUCCCCAAAGCAAAGUCUAAAGUAGAGCUGUUAUCUGACACAGCAGUCUCAUGAUUGGGUAUAUGUCCAAAAGAUGGAGUUGGUGUGUGGAAGAGAUCUCCUUACUUAUAUAUUGAUUGUAGAUACAAAGUGUGUGCAUAUGUGUGUAUAAGCAGAUGAGUGCAUAUAAAGAAAAUAUGAUACACACACAUACACAUGAGGGUGGAAUCUAGUGUAGCCAUUACAAAGAAUAAAAUUCUACCAUUAGCAAUAACCUGGAGGAUAUUACCUGAAAUGUAAAAGUUGGACAAAGACAAAUACCACAUUAUCUCACCCAUUAGUGAAAUCUAAACCCCCCCAAAAAAAAAAAUUUCACAGAAGUAAAAAAUAGAAUGGUAGUUCGUUGCCCAUGGGCAGGGUUGGCUGUGCAAAAAAGGUUCUGAGAAAGAUGUUGGUCAAAUGGAACAUGAUUACAGAUGGGAUGGAUAAAUUUGAAGAAUUCUAUUCGGUAACUACAUGAUGACUAAGUGAUUAUUUUCAAUAAUAAUUUGGCCUUCAUAAAUUAACCUGCCUCUGAAGUAGCCAGAAUACUACUCCUACAAGGAUAAAAUGCAAAAACUACCACUCUUAUCUUGUGGUUUAUAUAAAUGUGCACCAGGUUUUAUUAUCACUAUUCUUCAUGACAAUCUUCAUAAUACAGAAAAGCAAAAAACUAACAUAAUAGAAUAAAUAUGUAGAAAUAUAUCAUAGAUAAUUUUCUUUCAUAAUAAUAGUGAGUUUCUUAUUUUAUAAAUACCCUAUUAUUUUUAAAGCUAAUUAUAAAAAAGACUUAAGGAUACGUAGUUGAGACCAGUUAUUGCUCAGUUUCUAUAUUUAAAAAAGACAUUGUUUAAAGAGAGCUGAAUAUUACAAGAGAGAAUUACAAAGGAAGCCUAAAUGUCCUGAGUUUUUGUUUGUUUGUUUUGUUGGGGUUUUUUUGUCCACUUGUCAGGAGCUAGGACUGUCAGGAAAGAGGAACUUCCAUUGAAAAACUGCCUCCAUCUAAUUACCUGUAGGCACGUCUUUGGGCAUUUUCUUGAUGAAUGAUAAAUCUGGAAGGGCUUAGCCCUUGGGGAGUGGUGGCAACCUUAGGCAGAGGGCAUCUAAGUAGUAUAGAAAAGCAAGCUGAGCAAGCCAUGAGGAACAAACCAGCAUGCAGUGUCCCUCUGUGAUCUCUGCUUCAGUUCCUGCCUCCAGGAGCCUGCUUUGACUUCCUUCAUGCAGGACUGUAAGCUGUAAUGAAGUAAACCCUCCCCUCCCCAGAUUACUGUGGUCAUGGUGUUUAUCCGAACAGAAGUGAAACUAGGAUACUAAUAUAAACACGGUCAUUAAAAAACUGGCAAAAGGGGGAAAAAAUGUGUGACAGUUUUACAAAUGAAACAAAUAAGGGAUACUUUGGUGAUGGGCAAGAAGCUGGGGUGGAAAAAUGAGAUCCAAGCAGAAAAGUAGGAGUGAUCCCAGGGGGAUCUAGAAGCCAGCAAGCAGCCUCAGCUUUUCUUCAUUCAGAUCAUCCAGGUUAACGGCUGCUCAUUCUCUUAAUUCUGGUUUUCUUUGGGGGGGAAAUAAAACACAAAAAUAAAUUGUAACACAGUCAUAAGCACAAAGUUUGUGCUUUGAACCAUUUCCCUGGUACUUCUGAGAAGCAGAAAACAUGAAUUCCCUGUUCUAUGGAUACUAUACUUAGGUUUUUAAAAUAGUAUUUUCCCAAUUACAGAGCUGAUGUUUGCUUAUUGUACAAAAAGAAAGAAAGAAAG
rnacentral:lncRNA from 1 species